GAUGAACGCUGGCGGCGUGCCUAACACAUGCAAGUCGAACGGACAGACGAGGAGCCUGCGCCUUUGACGUUAGCGGAGGGCGGGUGAGUAACACGUGGAUCACCUACUUAUCUGUCUGGGAUAACUACGGGAAACCGGAGAUAAUACCGGAGAAUAUAUUGAACCGCAGGGUUCAAUGGUGAAAGACGGCUUUGGGGUCUGGAAUAGAUGGUUCCGCGCCGCAUUAGCUAGUUGGUAAGGUAACGGCUUACCAAGGCAACGAUGCGUAGCCGACCUGAGAGGGUGAUCGGCCACACUGGAACUGAGACACGGUCCAGACUCCUACGGGAGGCAGCAGUAGGGAAUCUGCGGCAAUGGGCGAAAGCCUGACGGAGCAACGCCGCGUGAGUGAUGAAGGUCUUCGGUGCGUAAAACUCUGUUAUUAGGGAAGAACAAAUGUGUAAGUAACCAUGCACGUCUUGACGGUACCUAAUCAGAAAGCCACGGCUAACUACGUG
rnacentral:rRNA from 1 species